rnacentral:lncRNA from 1 species
UCUGUCUUUCAAUCUUUUUAUUUCUUUGUUAAUCUAGUAUCUUUUCUAUGACGUUCUAUGGAAUUUCAGAAAAACGAAUCGAAAUUAAUUUUAACACUGACUUUUCUUUCUCUCUCACAUACGUAAACGCACAUGCAUCAUAUACGCAGAGAAAGAGAGAGAGGACAUACACCUGUCGUAACAUCUGCUCGUAAGAUACGUCUUUAAUCUCUUUUUCCUCUCGAUGUAAUUUGAAAUUUGAUUAAAAAUAUAAAAACCGUAAGGAAGGAAUAGCAUUUUCUCGCUGAGUAUAAAGGAUUAAAAAGAUAAAAAGAAAAAAAGAAAGAAAGAAAGAAAGAAUGAAAGCGUAGGAUCGAUGACCAUGAGGUCGUUUCAGACAGCCGGUGUACAUCGGGGGCGCCGCUUGUCCUCAACAUUUGGCCGCGUUUUCGCGUCGACUUUUGAUUUACGUUAGCUUGGAAAAGCCAUGGCUGAAGUGAACGGAAAAGAGGAGCCCCGCCGGAACUUCCUGGCAAAAGAGAAA